rnacentral:lncRNA from 1 species
CUGUAACAACUGUCAGAAGCACCCGCCUCUACACCCUCAUUAAACACUAACUCCCAUCUCCUGCCCUGGCUCUUGGUGCCAUUCUAGUUCCUGCCUCUGGGGACCUCCUAUGACAGGAAUUCCACAGGAUUUAUCACUGUAACUAGCUUACUUCAGUUAGCAUAUGCCUCAUGGUCCACCCAGGUUACAGCUAUGCCGAGAUUUCAUUUUUUUUAAAGGCUAAACGAUAUUUCAUAUUGUACAGCUUCCCACUUUUGACUUUCAUGAAUACUGUGGCUAUAAGCACAGUAUGCUCUUCUAUCAUGCUUCUGGAUGUCCACAAAGCUUGUUGUAUCACACGGUGAUCCAGGUAUCAACUGGGUCUGCAUAGCACUGGACUCCCUGACAUAUCCUCCAGAUGUGAGUGGACCCUCGCAUCUAUGUUCUGGGUUUCACGUUCUCUUUAUCACACCAGUCCCCCCCCCCCCCCCCCCCCCCCCCCCCCGUGACCAACUGUCCUCACAGAGACUCUGUUCAUAACUUCUCAGAGAAGCAGAAAUGAAAUCCACAGGAAAGGCACCGGCUCUAGGACAAAGAACCACAGCCUAUCAUAGCCUGAGUGGGUUUACAGUGUUCUUGUCACUGGAAGGGGCCAGCUAUGGAAGACAGUUGUUGGCAUCACCUCUUUUGAGAUGGUUUGAUCUGACAGGGCAAACCGGGAGGCAGGGCAGCUGGUAUCUGUCACUCUCCUGGGCCACAGAGGACUCAGUUCCAUUUUUCUUCACUGGGUUGAAACAUGGCAGUCAGAAGUCCCUCAAGGAGCCUUGAGGACAGGAUGGGGGGAUGUCCCCUUCAGGACUUAGCAGAAGAAAAGGUCAUCUCAGGACCCCGCUGACUGUACUGCCCACUGGGACAGAAGAGUUCCAGCCAUUCCACCACUGGAUAAAGGUAGACUUGGCCAAGAGAUGAAAGAGGGAAUUUGGAAAACCCUGUGAUGCUGACCAACAUUUCCUUAGAGGGUCCCCGUGGCUGUGUGCUCCAUGUGGCUGGAAACUGUGGGAUCUCAUACCAUCUGUAAGGGCUGGGCUUCCAGCUGCUGCAACACUGCAAAUUCCUGGUGACACAGGAGCCAAAGGCACUUUGUGAACUUCCCUCACCAGGGGACAGUGUGAGUCAGGCCAUACAAAUUCCCAUGAUGUCAGACACUCUGCUUAGCUUCUGGGACUCCUAGGUCCCUGUGCCUUUCUCCCCCUGUCCCCAAGUAGCAAAGCAUAAAUAAACAGAUGGAAAGUUACCUCACAGAUCCCUGGCAAAGCCCUCUGGCCCUGCACAGCCCUGGCUGGGUGAAAGUUUACUUUAGAAGAUUCUGAUGCAAUAGAGAAAGACAGACAAAGGAGGUGGCUGGUCAUGGGCUCUAGCACUGUCUGUUGGGGCUUGGAGGGAAAUGGAUGCAGGAAGGGCCCAGGCUUCAGGUUAGAGUUCAGGUCUCCAGCUCCAUAACUCUGGAAAG